GGAGACUGCCUCACCUCAUGUGGACCUGAGGGUCAGAGAGGCCUAUUGCAGGCGGGUUGGGCUAGAGGCACAGAAAUGUGCUUGGAUAGCCAAAUGAAUGAAUGGAUCUAGAGACACUGACAGAUUAAAGGACCUGCUGCUGGUCCACAUGAGAUCUAACAGCAGCAGCCUGAAUGCUGGUUCCGGUCCCAGGAGCUGUUGUGACCUUGGGGACACCCACGCACCGGACUCGGCCCGGAACUCUGUGUCUCAGGGGCGGGGAGGACGAGCCGGGAAGGACAGUGCGCGCGCGCGGGAGACAGGCGGACGACGGGUUCUGUACGCCCGGCCCUCAGGUGCAUCACUGCGGUCAAGCCCGGCCGCCGAUUAUUGCAAUCUGCCGAGGUAACAUUCCACUUGCGCGGCCCACGCGGCUCCUCGCGGCCCCGCAAGCUCCUAAUCCUUCGGGCGCUCGCGCCAAGAUUCUCCCGCGUCAGCGAGCCCGCCCCGCAGCCGCGCGCGCCACUCGACUCUCCCGCGUCCCGCCCCGAUCAGGCCCCGCCCACCACGUCCGCACCACGCCCCCGGCGCGCAGGCCCUGACAUCUAGCCCCACCCCUUUUGUGCAGGACACGCCCAUAUUAGAACACGCCCUCUGGGAAGCCCCGCCUCAACCAGAGCUCUUCGCUGGUCCGCGCGGCGACGGGGCGGGCCCUGGGCCUGCGGCGGCCGC
rnacentral:lncRNA from 1 species